rnacentral:rRNA from 1 species
GACGAACGCUGGCGGGCGUGCCUAACACAUGCAAGUCGAGCGGAGUCGAUCGACGGAAGCCUUCGGGCGGAAGAUGGUUGACUUAGCGGCGGAUGGGUGAGUAACGCGUGGGCAACCUGCCUCGAAGACCGGGAUAACAGCCCGAAAGGGCUGCUAAUACCGGAUGUGGUCAAGGAUCCGCAUGGAUUUUGAUUAAAGGGGAAACCCGUUUCGAGAUGGGCCCGCGUCCUAUCAGCUAGUUGGUGAGGUAAAAGCUCACCAAGGCGACGACGGGUAGCCGGCCUGAGAGGGUGACCGGCCACACUGGAACUGAGACACGGUCCAGACUCCUACGGGGGGCAGCAGUGGGGAAUCUUCCACAAUGGGCGAAAGCCUGAUGGAGCGACGCCGCGUGAGCGAAGAAGGCCUUCGGGUUGUAAAGCUCUGUCUGGAGGGACGAAGGAAGUGACGGUACCUCCGGAGGAAGCCACGGCUAACUACGUG